rnacentral:rRNA from 1 species
GACAGAGGGUGCAAACGUUGUUCGGAAUUACUGGGCGUAAAGCGAGUGUAGGCGGUCUGCUAAGUCGGGUGUGAAAGCCCCGGGCUCAACCCGGGAAGUGCACUCGAAACUGGCAGGCUAGAGUAUCGGAGAGGUUGGUGGAAUUCUCGGUGUAGAGGUGAAAUUCGUAGAUAUCGAGAGGAACACCGGUGGCGAAGGCGGCCAACUGGACGAAUACUGACGCUGAGGAGCGAAAGCGUGGGGAGCGAACAGG